UACGGGGGGGGCAAGCGUUGUUCGGAAUUACUGGGUGUAAAGCGCGUGUAGGCGGCAGACCAAGUCGGCGGUGAAAGCGCCCGGCUCAACUGGGCGAGGUCCGUGGAAACUGGUCAGCUGGAGGACGGUAGAGGCGAGUGGAAUUCCCGGUGUAGUGGUGAAAUGCGUAGAGAUCGGGAGGAACACCUGUGGCGAAGGCGGCUCGCUGGGCCGGUCCUGACGCUGAGACGCGAAGGCGUGGGGAGCGAACGGG
rnacentral:rRNA from 1 species